UACGUAGGGACCAAGCGUUGUUCGGAUUUACUGGGCGUAAAGGGCGCGUAGGCGGCGUGGUAAGUCACUUGUGAAAUCUCUGAGCUUAACUCAGAACGGCCAAGUGAUACUGCUGUGCUAGAGUGCAGAAGGGGCAAUCGGAAUUCCUGGUGUAGCGGUGAAAUGCGCAGAUAUCAGGAAGAACACCCGUGGCGAAGGCGGCUCUCUGGGACGGUACUGACGCUGAGGAGCGAAAGCGUGGGGAGCGAACAGG
rnacentral:rRNA from 1 species